UACGUAGGCAGCGAGCGUUGUUCGGAGUUACUGGGCGUAAAGGGUGUGUAGGCGGUUUUCUAAGUUUGGUGUGAAAUCUCCCGGCUCAACCGGGAGGGUGCGCCGAAAACUGGGAGACUAGAGUGCGGGAUGGGAGAGUAGAAUUCCUGGUGUAGCGGUGAAAUGCGUAGAUAUUGGGAGGAACACCAGUGGCGAAGGCGGCUACCUGGACCGGUUCUGACGCUGAUGCGCGAAAGCGUGGGUAGCAAACAGG
rnacentral:rRNA from 1 species